UAGAAGAGAACUGAAAUAGAAGGGACUUGGCUCUCUUGAUCUAGUCCUGGCGUCCCCGUUCAGAGGGGCACACUGUCUCCCAUUCCUGCCUGCCAAGACUUCCCGUGAGAGGAGGAACUGGGGAGAUUUAUUUGAACUGGGACCACAAAGAGCUCCUUUCCCGUGUAUGUGAGGUCCUAGGAGUCACUCACAAAAAGAGAAUACAGUGUCUCUUACACACGUGAGAAGACAUUUAACUCUCGUAUCUGAAAUAAGAGAACAAACAGGAUUCCAGUGAGGGGAUUUUUAUUAGAUUAGCAAAAAAAUAAAAGAUUCAUAGCAUUACUUUGGAGGGAUUCUAGAGGAACACUGCGGUCCUGUGCUAGGGGGGAGGUAAAUGUACAAACCCGUAGAGAUUCCAGAUGCCUUUGGCCCACCAAUUCCACAUGUAGCUCACCCUGCAGAGAUGCACUAUGCAGAGGGGCACCUGUGUAAGGUUAGUCAUAACUAAGUGCCAUUCAAAGGGAAGUGUUGGGUGCUCCUGGGCAGCCCAUGGGGUGCCAGGUCAUGUAGCAGAGAGGAAAGAUGUUCAGGGGGCUCCCUGCCCCAAUAUGUACAGUGGCUUCCCAGUUGCAGUACAGGAAGCUGACCCAGAGCAUCCCUCACCUUUCCAGAACCACUCAGCUGGCCACCCUCCCCUCUUCCUGCUCAGACCCCGCCUCCUGCCAGCCUUCCUUCUCCCAGGUUUCCCACCGCCAUCCCUUCAUCCAGGUCUUUGCCCAAAUGCCCUCCAGCCCCCUCCACACACCUAUAGCUGACAUACACCACAGCACCCCUCUGUGCACCCCUUCUGGCCAUCACUCAGGUGGCCAGUUCUCUGGGUCUCUGCACACUAAAUAGGUACCGACAGAAAGUGGCAGGUCAUAGCAAGAGUGAAGGACUGAGAGUAACAAAGACCUUGUGGUUUAGAUAUGAGGCGUCCCCCCAAAACCCACAUGUGACAAUCAGAGGUGAGAUGAUUAGAUUACAAGAGAUUGUGUGACUCUGCUAAUAAGGGUUAACUGGGUGAUAACCAUAGGCAGGUAGAGUGUGGCUGGAGGAAAGUUGUCACUGGGGUGUGCCUUGGGGGUUGCUGUUUUGUCCUUGUUGAGCAGAGCCCUCUACUUCCCGGUUUUCAGGUCCUGAACUGCCUUUUUCUGCCAUGACGCCCCACCUCACCUUAGGCCCAGAGCUGCAGAGUCAGGUGGUCAGACUGAACUUCCGAAAUCAUGAGCCCAAAUAAACCUGUCUUCUGUGUUGUUUUUGUCACAGCAAUGAAAGAGCUAACAGAAAUUGGUACUGAGGAGUGGGAUGUGGCUGUGACUGGUGCGACCAUGGGGCUCAGAAGCUUUUGGAGCUGGUUUGUGUGGCAUGGGGGGAGGGGGUUUGAAAAGUUUAUCGACGCUGUCGAAUGUUGUGAGCAGAGCUUGAUGGGUGACUGCCGCGGGUUCAGGAGACCUGAACGCAGUGGCACUGAGGUUUCACAGGAGAGGAUGGGGUCGAAGCUGGACUGGAGGCCAUUCAUGUCACGUUCUGGCAAAGAAGGCCUGCAGAGGAUGCUGCAUCCGUGGUCCCAGCAGGCUUAGCUCCUAGUAGCUCAAGAUGGCGGCAGACCUUGGCAUCCAUCACGUCGUGCUGGUGCUGCAGGAAUGAAGGAUGCUGGAGUUUGGGGGUCGUGAAGGCUCCCACCAAGAUGGCAAAGGAAAGCCUGGAGGCCUGGCAAAGCGCAGCAGGGUCAGAGUCCCUGUGGGACGCCCCUGAGAGGCCAAUACAUGAAGAGGUGAGACGGAAGCCAGAAGCCCCAGUGGAGAUCCCAAAGGGGCCAGUAACCUAGGACGUCACUGAGGAAAGCCGCAGAUACGGGACAAGCAGCAGAGAGGCUGUGGGGGCCGCAGCCCAGAGAGACCAUCACCCUGCCAAGUGCCCAGGUGCUGGACACGGAGCUGCAGGACUUGCUUGCCCCCCAGGGUCUCAGUCUUGCUUUGGUCUCGUCCCUGUUUUUCCCUUGUGGAAUGGGAAUGUUUACUCUGGGCCAUUACAUAUUGGGUAUAUGUGACUUGCUUUUGACCUCUACAGGGGACAACAUCCAUGAAUUCAUCUGAAGUCUUGGAUGAGAUCUUGGACUUGGACUUGGGGCAGUGGUAGAGCUGCUGAGACCAUGGGGACCCCUGGAAAUGGACCAGUGUAUUUUGCAUUGUGAGAUGGGUGUGAGCUUUUGGGGGCCAAGGAUAGAAAGUCAUGGUUUAAAUAUGAAGUGCCUCCCAGAAGCUCAUGGUGAGACAAGGCAAGCAUUUCAGGGGUAAGACUGGUAGAUUACCAGAGGCGUAACCUUGUCAGUGGAUUGAUCUACUGAUGGAUUGCAGGCAGGUGGAAUGUGGCUGGAGGAGGUGGGUCCCUGGGUUGUGACUUUGGGGUUUAUAGUGUGUCCCUAGUGAGUGGAGGUCUCGCUCUGCUUACCUGUUACCUGCUUACCUGCUCUAGUUACCUGUCCUGAGCUGCCCUCCUCUACCACACCCCCAGCCAGGAAGUUCUGCCUCACCUCAGGCCUGGAGCUGUGGGGUUGCCCGAGGAUGUACUGACCCCCUGAAACUGGGCCCACAUGAACUUUUCCUUCUCCACACUGUGCUUUUCAGGUCUUUGGGUCACGGUAACAAAAAGGCUGUCUAUGACACACCUCCGUCCCCGGCCAUUUCUCACGUCAAUGACCACAAUACGGCUGGCAUUCAAUUUACACUCACAACAGUCACUGUGUUGCCAAGAAAAUCCUGUGUGUUCAGGAUAUUUCUUCACUAAAGGCUAGAAAUAAUAAAUUCUAAGGCAAAUAAAUGUAUGUCCUUAAUUCCAAAGUUAGAAAAAAAGUGUCCAGUUUCAUUAUGAAUCCUGACACAACAAAUCUUUGAAUCGUGGGCAAAAAAAAA